ACUGGCUCAGUCUCGCAGGAGCCAUUGGACAUUGUCGGUGAUACUGGAAAAACUGGAUAAUGUAUUCUCGCCGGUACUGCUGAUUCAAACCGGAUUCGAUAUUCUGUCCAUCACUUUAAUGAUCGGCGUUUCCAUGAACGGCACACUGGAAAUACCUCUGGGAACGUUUGCUACGAAGAAUGUAGAGGACCUCGCUUUGCUUAUCGUUAGUGCGAUGGCGAAUUUUAUUCUGUUUUUUGUCGCAUUGUUGCUGCGAGUUAUACAAAAAAUCAGGCGCACGCUAUUGUGGGACUUUAUCAUCAGUGCGCAGAAACAUUCCCGGAAGAUAAAGACUUGAUUGGAAGUGUUACAAAUACAACCGUUCAACGUCUUCGUGAUAAUCCUGUCGGCUUUACUGCGUGGAAAUUUCUAGUACUGGAUACGAGUUUCAUUUUAACGGUGUUUGGAGUAUUGUUGACGUAUCUGCUGGUAAUCUACGAAUUAACAACGCGCAGUGAUGCAAAGCAGUGUACCGGACAAGGACUGAUGAGCGCACCCAGCAAGGAUCAGUUGUUGUGUUAUUUUAAUUCUC